rnacentral:rRNA from 1 species
UCCUACGGGAGGCAGCAGUGGGGAAUAUUGCACAAUGGGCGAAAGCCUGAUGCAGCGACGCCGCGUGAGGGAUGACGGCCUUCGGGUUGUAAACCUCUUUCAGCAGGGAAGAAGCGCAAGUGACGGUACCUGCAGAAGAAGCGCCGGCUAACUACGUGCCAGCAGCCGCGGUAAUACGUAGGGCGCAAGCGUUGUCCGGAAUUAUUGGGCGUAAAGAGCUCGUAGGCGGUCUGUCGCGUCUGGUGUGAAAUCCCGAGGCUCAACCUCGGGCUUGCAUCGGGUACGGGCAGACUAGAGUGCGGUAGGGGAGAAUGGAACUCCUGGUGUAGCGGUGGAAUGCGCAGAUAUCAGGAAGAACACCGAUGGCGAAGGCAGUUCUCUGGGCCGUAACUGACGCUGAGGAGCGAAAGCGUGGGGAGCGAACAGGAUUAGAUACCCUGGUAGUCCACGCCGUAAACGUUGGGCGCUAGAUGUGGGGACCAUUCCACGGUUUCCGUGUCGUAGCUAACGCAUUAAGCGCCCCGCCUGGGGAGUACGGCCGCAAGGCUAAAACUCAAAUGAAUUGACGGA